UGUGCCUCCUAAACUUUUCCACUACGCUUCUAGCAUCGAACUAUCCGCAGCCCAGUCGAACAUUAGUCGAACUGUGCUCAACCAUUUGACAAAGGUCUAAACAACAUCUAGCUGCGACAGCUCUCCAGUAUCAGUUCUGGCUCUCCGUAUAUCAACUCCCUUCCACUCCGGUUUAAACCCCCAACCCCAUCCCGUAUGCCACAAGCAAACUUUCCCACAAGGGUAUUAGACCCCUUCCAGUUCAUCGCAAACCAUCUUUUCUACUCAGGUCUCAAAUUGCCAGGGGCGGGGUCCAGUCACCGUUCGCUGUCACUCUCUCUAUAAGAGGAACGGACACUGAAUGAUCAUGGUGUUUAGAAAGGAGAAUGUCUCCGACUGAUUUAUUUGAAGAAAUGGUUUAAGACUCGCAGACAGUUAGGAAACAACUGUGGGCGACGACUGUCCAAACGGUUGAACCGGAUUUCAGCAGAAAGGCCGCUCCCUGUUCUGAGAAAUGCGUACGUGGAGGAACCUGGCCAACAUACAGGGCCGCAGCUUGCACAGAGACAAGGAGCUCUGAGUUUCACAGAAACGCACCCGGCGACGACCUGCACUUAGGAAGAUCUUCUGAUUCAGAAACCCAGAGCAACACUCACAAAACUCUGAAGAAGCACAGAACAGCACAAAACAGUAAACAGUCGACAUUUCGAGCCGAGAGCUUUCAUCAGGAAUUAACCUUAUUCCUAACCCACAACUCCUAAACCAGCCAAAUAUUCCUCUGCUCAUUGUUUGAAAUGAAGGGUGAAGGCCACUACUUGGAAAUAUGCCCACAAGGAAAUAGAACAUUGUUAAUAUUUUUUCCGGCUUUUCAUUUCCAACCAGACUAUAGCCUGCGGUUUGUAUCAGUGAUCAAGAAAUCAGUAGCUCAGUGAUAAACUUCUUCUCGCAAUGCUUGUGUUUGUAUCCCUGAGGUUGUGUUCAUAUGCUGGGAUUUUUCCACACUUUAUAUCAAGAUUAGGAACUGUUCUAGAAUCAGAAAUAAACGUUUCAUGCGACGGCUGUACAGCCCUAUCCUGCACGAUUUUCAAAAUACGUUACUUCAGGUCUGGAUGAUUGAUAAACACCGGGGUGGAGAGCUAUAAGACCCAACGACAGCGCAGCAGAAAGAGGCUGUUUGGUCCAUUGAGUCUGCUCCGCCGGUUCAUCAUGGCUGAUUCAACAUUUUAUUUGAGGCCCAAACUCCUCCCUACUGCUCGCAUCCCGUCAGUAAAUUAGGAUUAGUAAGUACUGGUACUAUGAUAAGUGGCAUUGUGGUUAAUGAAGUAGGUUCCCAAAGCUUGCAGAGAGACUUAGGCCAAUUAGACGAGUGGG